rnacentral:rRNA from 1 species
GCCGCGUGAAUGAUGAAGGCCUUAGGGUUGUAAAGUUCUUUAAGUGGGGAAGAUAAUGACGGUACCCACAGAAUAAGCACCGGCUAACUUCGUGCCAGCAGCCGCGGUAAUACGAAGGGUGCAAGCGUUGUUCGGAAUUACUGGGCGUAAAGCGCGCGUAGGCGGUUUGAUAAGUUGGGAGUGAAAUCCCGGGGCUUAACUCCGGAAUUGCUUUCAAAACUAUCAAUCUAGAGUAUGGUAGGGGACAGUGGAAUUCCUAGUGUAGAGGUGAAAUUCGUAGAUAUUAGGAGGAACACCAGUGGCGAAAGCGACUGUCUGGGCCAUUACUGACGCUGAGGCGCGAAAGCGUGGGGAGCAAACAGGAUUAGAUACCCUGGUAGUCCACGCCGUAAACGAUGGGUGCUAGAUAUUGGAGCUUAAGCUUCAGUGUCGUAGCUAACGCGUUAAGCACCCCGCCUGGGGAGUACGGUCGCAAGAUUAAAACUCAAAGGAAUUGACGGGGACCCGCACAAGUGGUGGAGCAUGUGGUUUAAUUCGAUGCUACGCGAAAAACCUUACCACCUUUUGACAUCUCCCUUACGGAAGCUUGUUAUAGAGCUUCUUCGGUUCGGCCGGAGGGAAGA